rnacentral:rRNA from 1 species
GACGAACGCUGGCGGCGUGCCUAAUACAUGCAAGUCGAGCGCGGGAAGCUGACGGAACUCUUCGGAGGGAAGGCAGUGGAAUGAGCGGCGGACGGGUGGGUAACACGUAAGGAACCUGCCUCAAGGAUUGGGAUAACUCCGAGAAAUCGGAGCUAAUACCGGAUAGUUCAUCGGACCGCAUGGUCCGUUGAUGAAAGGCGCUUCGGCGUCACCUUGAGAUGGCCUUGCGGUGCAUUAGCUAGUUGGUGGGGUAACGGCCCACCAAGGCGACGAUGCAUAGCGGACCUGAGAGGGUGAUCGGCCACACUGGGACUGAGACACGGCCCAGACUCCUACGGGAGGCAGCAGUAGGGAAUCUUCCACAAUGGACGAAAGUCUGAUGGAGCAACGCCGCGUGAGUGAUGAAGGUUUUCGGAUCGUAAAACUCUGUUGUAAGGGAAGAACACGUACGAGAGGGAAUGCUCGUACCUUGACGGUACCUUACGAGAAAGCCACGGCUAACUACGUGCCAGCCGCCGCGGUAAAAC